rnacentral:rRNA from 1 species
GAUGAACGCUGGCGGCGUGCCUAAUACAUGCAAGUCGAGCGAACAGACGAGGAGCUUGCUCCUCUGACGUUAGCGGCGGACGGGUGAGUAACACGUGGAUAACCUACCUAUAAGACUAGGAUAACUUCGGGAAACCGGAGCUAAUACCGGAUAAUAUAUUGAACCGCAUGGUUCAAUAGUGAAAGACGGUUUUGCUGUCACUUAUAGAUGGAUCCGCACCGCAUUAGCUAGUUGGUAAGGUAACGGCUUACCAAGGCAACGAUGCGUAGCCGACCUGAGAGGGUGAUCGGCCACACUGGAACUGAGACACGGUCCAGACUCCUACGGGAGGCAGCAGUAGGGAAUCUUCCGCAAUGGGCGAAAGCUUGACGGAGCAACGCCGCGUGAGUGAUGAAGGUCUUCGGAUCGUAAAACUCUGUUAUUAGGGAAGAGCAAAUGUGUAAGUAACUAUGCACGUCUUGACGGUACCUAAUCAGAAAGCCACGGCUAACUACGUG